AACACAUCAAGGAGUCUUGCUUCUCCAUUAGAGCUUUGGGACUCGAAAGCAGUUGGCGAGGAACCCCCACUUUCACCACUGCUGCACACACACUAUAACCUCAGGUCUUGUGUUGACUCACUGCUCCUGGGUGGCAAUGGGAAGUCCUGACCCAGUCUGCUCAGUAGUCCCAGCUCUGCACAGGGGAGACGGGGGAAGAAAGAAACAGUUCUUUCUCAAGAACUUUAAAUUACAAAAAUGAAGGGAGGAACCACACGGUAUUCACAGACACUUUCAUCUUUUACAUACCCCUUGGUAAGUGGCCUCCACUCCCUAUCCUGAGAGACUCC
rnacentral:lncRNA from 1 species